CCAGGGGGCCGGGCAACCGCGUGAUCGCAAGAUACCGAGGAAAGUCCGGGCUCCACGAAACAAGGGUGGCGGGUAACGCCCGCCGGGUUUGCGCAAGCAGAUCAAGGGAAAGUGCCACAGAGAGCAGACCGCUAAUCCCGGAUCUCGGUCCGGGACAGUAAGGGUGAAAGGGUGCGGUAAGAGCGCACCGCGCGCGCCGGCAACGGCCGCGGCACGGUAAACCCCACCCGGAGCAAGACCGAAUAGGGGCGGCACGUUCGUUUACGGACAGGUUGUUUCGACCCGACCGCCCGGGUUGGUCGCUAGAGCGGCAUGGCAACAUGUCGCCAAGAGGAAUGGUUGCCGGCGCGGAUACGGUCGACUCGUGCGAAACCGUCCGCGUCACAGAACCCGGCUUACAGGCCCCCUGGCACC
rnacentral:RNase_P_RNA from 1 species